rnacentral:rRNA from 1 species
CCUACGGGGGGCUGCAGUGGGGAAUAUUGGACAAUGGGGGCAACCCUGAUCCAGCCAUGCCGCGUGUGUGAAGAAGGCCCUCGGGUUGUAAAGCACUUUCAGUGAGGAAGAACGCCUGGUGGUUAAUACCCAUCAGGAAAGACAUCACUCACAGAAGAAGCACCGGCUAACUCCGUGCCAGCAGCCGCGGUAAUACGGAGGGUGCGAGCGUUAAUCGGAAUUACUGGGCGUAAAGCGCGCGUAGGUGGCUUGAUAAGCCGGGUGUGAAAAGCCCCGGGCUCAACCUGGGAACGGCCUCCGGAACUGUCUACCUAGGGGGGAGAGGGGGAAGGUAGACUUCGGGGGGUGGGGGGGAAAGGCGUGAAGUCCGGGGGGAAUACCGGGGGCGAAGGGGGCCUUCUGGACUGACCCGGAGAUUGUGGUGCGAAGGCGUGGGUAGCAAACGGGUUUGGAUCCCCUGGUGGUC